UCUGUAAAGCUCCUUCGACGAGUCGAGUAGUUUGGGAAUGCUGCUCUAAAUGGGAGGUAUAUGUCUUCUAAAGCUAAAUACCGGCCAGAGACCGAUAGCGCACAAGUAGAGUGAUCGAAAGAUGAAAAGAACUUUGAAAAGAGAGUUAAACAGUACGUGAAAUUGUUGAAAGGGAAGCGCUUGUGACCAGACUUGGGCUUGGUUGAUCAUCCGGGGUUCUCCCCGGUGCACUCUUCCGGCCCAGGCCAGCAUCAGUUCGCCCUGGGGGACAAAGGCAUCGGGAACGUGGCUCUCUCCGGGGAGUGUUAUAGCCCGUUGCGUAAUACCCUGUGGCGGACUGAGGUUCGCGCAUUCGCAAGGAUGCUGGCGUAAUGGUCAUCAGUGACCCGUCUUGAAACACGGACCAAGGAGUCGUCUUCGUAUGCGAGUGUUCGGGUGUCAAACCCCUACGCGAAAUGAAAGUGAACGCAGGUGAGAGCUUCGGCGCAUCAUCGACCGAUCCUGAUGUUUUCGGAUGGAUUUGAGUAAGAGCAUACGGGGCCGGACCCGAAAGAAGGUGAACUAUGCCUGUGUAGGGUGAAGCCAGAGGAAACUCUGGUGGAGGCUCGCAGCGGUUCUGACGUGCAAAU
rnacentral:rRNA from 1 species